rnacentral:rRNA from 1 species
CACGGGUGCGUAACACGUAUGUAACCUACCUUCGUCAGGGGGAUAGCCUCUCGAAAGAGAGAUUAAGACCGCAUAACAUUACACUAUGGCAUCAUAAAGUAAUCAAAUAUUUAUAGGACGAAGAUGGGCAUGCGGAACAUUAGCUAGUUGGUGAGGUAACUGCUCACCAAGGCAACGAUGUUUAGGGGAUCUGAGAGGAUGACCCCCCACACUGGUACUGAGACACGGACCAGACUCCUACGGGAGGCAGCAGUAAGGAAUAUUGGUCAAUGGGCGGAAGCCUGAACCAGCCAUGCCGCGUGCAGGAAGACGGCCCUAUGGGUUGUAAACUGCUUUUGCAGGGGAAUAAACCUCCGUUCGUGAACGGAGCUGAAUGUACUCUGAGAAUAAGGAUCGACUAACUCCGUGCCAGCAGCCGCGGUAAUACGGAGGAUCCGAGCGUUAUCCGGAUUUAUUGGGUUUAAAGGGUGCGUAGGUGGCCUGUUAAGUCAGGGGUGAAAGACGGUAGCUUAACUAUCGCAGUGCCCUUGAUACUGAUGGGCUUGAAUGAACUAGAGGUAGGCGGAAUGUGACAAGUAGCGGUGAAAUGCAUAGAUAUGUCACAGAACACCAAUUGCGAAGGCAGCUUACUAUGGUUUUAUUGACACUGAGGCACGAAAGCGUGGGGAUCAAACAGGAUUAGAUACCCUGGUAGUCCACGCCCUAAACGAUGAAUACUCGAUGUUGGCGAUAUACGGUCAGCGUCUAAGCGAAAGCGUUAAGUAUUCCACCUGGGGAGUACG